GAUGAACGCUGGCGGCAGGCCUAACACAUGCAGGUCGAGCGGAUGAAAGGAGCUUGCUCCUUGAUUCAGCGGCGGACGGGUGAGUAAUGCCUAGGAAUCUGCCUGGUAGUGGGGGAUAACGCUUCGAAAGGAGCGCUAAUACCGCAUACGUCCUACGGGAGAAAGUGGGGGAUCUUCGGACCUCACGCUAUCAGAUGAGCCUAGGUCGGAUUAGCUAGUAGGUGAGGUAAUGGCUCACCUAGGCGACGAUCCGUAACUGGUCUGAGAGGAUGAUCAGUCACACUGGAACUGAGACACGGUCCAGACUCCUACGGGAGGCAGCAGUGGGGAAUAUUGGACAAUGGGGGAAACCCUGAUCCAGCCAUGCCGCGUGUGUGAAGAAGGUCUUCGGAUUGUAAAGCACUUUAAGUUGGGAGGAAGGGCUGUAGGUUAAUACCUUGCAGUUUUGACGUUACCAACAGAAUAAGCACCGGCUAACUUCGUGCCAGCCGCCGCAGUAA
rnacentral:rRNA from 1 species